UACGUAGGGUGCAAGCGUUAUCCGGAAUUAUUGGGCGUAAAGAGCUCGUAGGCGGUUUGUCGCGUCUGCUGUGAAAACUGGAGGCUCAACCUCCAGCCUGCAGUGGGUACGGGCAAACUAGAGUGCGGUAGGGGAGAUUGGAAUUCCUGGUGUAGCGGUGAAAUGCGCAGAUAUCAGGAGGAACACCGGUGGCGAAGGCGGGUCUCUGGGCCUUACCUGACGCUCAGGCACGAAAGCUAGGGGAGCGAACAGG
rnacentral:rRNA from 1 species